CACGUAGGGCGCAAGCAUUGUCCGGAAUUAUUGGGCGUAAAGAGCUCGUAGGCGGUCUGUCGCGUCGAUCGUGAAAACUUGGGGCUUAACCCUGAGCUUGCGGUCGAUACGGGCAUGACUGGAGUUCGGCAGGGGAGACUGGAAUUCCUGGUGUAGCGGUGAAAUGCGCAGAUAUCAGGAGGAACACCAAUGGCGAAGGCAGCACUCUGGGACGGUACUGACGCUGAGACGCGAAAGCGUGGGGAGCAAACAGG
rnacentral:rRNA from 1 species